rnacentral:rRNA from 1 species
GACGAACGCUGGCGGCGCGCUUAACACAUGCAAGUGGAGCGACGAACCUGGCUUCGGCCAGGGGCAAAGCCGCGAACGGGUGAGUAUCACGUGGGUAACGUGCCCCGAUGACCGGGACAACCCGAGGAAACUCGGGCUAAUACCGGAUGUGCUGUUCGGUCUCAAGACCGUCCAGUAAAGGAAGCUUCGGCCUCCGCAUUGGGAGCGGCCCGCGGCCCAUUAGCUUGUUGGUGAGGUAACGGCUCACCAAGGCAACGAUGGGUAGCUGGUCUGAGAGGACGAUCAGCCACACUGGGACUGAGACACGGCCCAGACUCCUACGGGAGGCAGCAGUGGGGAAUCUUGCGCAAUGCGCGAAAGCGUGACGCAGCAACGCCGCGUGAGGGAAGAAGGCCUUCGGGUUGUAAACCUCUUUCAGGGGGGACGAAGGUUCAGGCGCGAAUAGCGUCCUGGACUGACGGUACCUCCAGAAGAAGCUCCGGCUAACUACGUGCCAGCCGCCGCGGUAAUAC